UGUUAAAAGUUCCUUUCAUUUUUACUAAAAAUUGGCGUGAUUGAUGGAAUAACUAAAUAGUUACACAUAGCAUGAUGAUGUAUAAAGAUUAGUUUUUAAUACUAAAAAUGAAUGGAAUUUUUAAUA
rfam:Gossypium hirsutum cultivar TM-1 unplaced genomic scaffold scaffold293.1, whole genome shotgun sequence